GCGGCCAUUUUGUUGUGAACAAUUUACAUGCCAAAACACAUGCUUGCCUUCCUUGAUUUCAGUCAUUUUUGUUGCACGGAAGAGGAAUCCUUCAGAGAGAUGCAAAGCAGGACUGUUUUGUCAACAAGGACCAGUACGAAGUUGGAUGAGCUGCUAAUCUCCGACGAAAAAAACGGCACCAUUGCGACAUUACUACUUGGUUUGAGGAAACAUAAGAAGGCAGCCGCAUGAGAUGACUGGUGGAUACAUCAUCACCACACGGACGCUCUUCUGCCUGUAAGCGUGCUCAGCCGUGACCACGACCACGAUGAUGUCUUUAUGGGGCCUCCCUGAGCCACCAGGAAGAGGACAAAGACCAGUUUUGUCAUGA